UACGUAGGGGGCUAGCGUUGUCCGGAUUUAUUGGGCGUAAAGAGCGCGUAGGCGGCCCGGUAGGUCUGGUGUGAAAACUCGAGGCUUAACCUCGAGAUGUCAUCGGAAACCAUCUGGCUAGAGUCCGGAAGAGGAGAGUGGAAUUCCUGGUGUAGCGGUGAAAUGCGCAGAUAUCAGGAAGAACACCAAUGGCGAAAGCAGCUCUCUGGGACGGUACUGACGCUGAGACGCGAAAGCGUGGGGAGCGAACAGG
rnacentral:rRNA from 1 species